rnacentral:rRNA from 1 species
UACAGAGGUCUCAAGCGUUGUUCGGAUUCAUUGGGCGUAAAGGGCGCGUAGGCGGUGGGGUAAGUCUGGUGUGAAAUCUCGGAGCUCAACUUCGAAAUUGCACUGGAUACUGCUCUGCUAGAGGGCUGGAGAGGAGAUCGGAAUUCACGGUGUAGCAGUGAAAUGCGUAGAUAUCGUGAGGAAGACCAGUGGCGAAGGCGGAUCUCUGGACAGUUCCUGACGCUGAGGCACGAAGGCCAGGGGAGCAAACGGG